rnacentral:rRNA from 1 species
AUGGAACCACCGCUGCCAACGACCGUGUCUACGUGCACCUCCGAGACGGCGAGGGGCAAGCACGUGUUCAACAUCGCCGGCUACCAUCUGCACAAGGGUAUGGGCGCCGGCGAGUCCAUACGGUCCGCCACCUUCGCCGUCGGCGGCUACGACUGGUGCGUCCGCUACUACCCCUAUGGGGACAUAUCCCGGGACUGCAGGGGCUAUGUCUCGGUCUACCUCGAGCUCCUCACCAGGGACGCCGAGGUCAGGGCGGACUACGUGUUCAGGCUCAUCGACAACUCGGGCAGCGCUCUGCCGUCGGUGGUCCGCAGGUUUACCAGCAAGUACACCCCCGUCGACCCAGAUGAAGAUCCCGAUGGCUAUGGAGCUAACAAGUUCAUGAAACAGAGUGAGCUAGCAUCGUACCUACGGGACGACCGCCUGGUGAUUGAGUGUGAAGUCAAGGUUAUCAAGCAGCCGCAGGUGAAGGAGGAGGAGACCGUCUCCGUCGCCGCACAUAUUGAGGUGCCGCCGUCGUACCUGCCGAAUCAUCUCAAGAAAUUGCUGGAUGGGAGGAGAGGGGCAGAUGUGACUUUUGAGGUUAAAGGCGAGGUUUUCCCUGCUCACAAGAUUAUGCUCGCCACGCGAUCGCCGGUCUUUGAUGCUCAACUCUAUGGACCCCUGAGCGAUCCUGCGAGUGACAACAUAAUCGUCGAAGACAUGGAGCCUCCUGUUUUCAAGGCGUUUCUUCACUUCAUCUACACAGAUUCGCUGCCUGCUGCUAUGGAUGACCUUGAUGAUGGUGAGAACCAAGAGAUGGUUAAGCACCUGCUGGUGGCCGCCGAUAGGUAUGCCAUGGACAGGAUGAAGAUGUUAUGCCAAGGUAUUCUCUGCAAGAGCCUUGAUGUUCAAACUGUGGCGACAACAUUGGCGCUAGCUGAUCAGCAUCACUGCAGCAAGCUGAAAGAUGCAUGUGUUGAAUUCAUCCUCUCUUCAAACAGAAUGGAUGAUGUGGUGGCAAGCCAAGGGUAUGCGCACCUCAAAAGAUCUUGUCCUGCUCUCAUGUUUGAUGUCUUUGAGAGGGCUACCAAGUCUCGCAAAAUUUAA